UUGAAUUUAAUGUAGAGUUGGUUGUAGCUGGCCUAAUUAAUAAUUUGGGCAUGUGCACACCUUCUCUUUCAUCCACACACACCUGUGCACCUGUGAGACAGAGUGGGAAUUUUAAUUUAAUUUAAUUGGACCCUCUGUCUACCUAAUUCACACAAACUCUAUUUGUUAUAAAAUGUAAUGUAAUUGAUGUAACGCAUCUAAUAC
rnacentral:misc_RNA from 1 species